AUUGAACGCUGGCGGCAGGCCUAACACAUGCAAGUCGAGCGGAUGAGGAGAGCUUGCUCUCUGAUUUAGCGGCGGACGGGUGAGUAAUGCCUAGGAAUCUGCCUGGUAGUGGGGGAUGACGUUCCGAAAGGAACGCUAAUACCGCAUACGGCCUACGGGAGAAAGCAGGGGACCUUCGGGCCUUGCGCUAUCAGAUGAGCCUAGGUCGGAUUAGCUAGUUGGUGAGGUAAUGGCUCAACAGGGCGACGAUCCGUAACUGGUCUGAGAGGAUGAUCAGUCACACUGGAACUGAGACACGGUCCAGACUCCUACGGGAGGCAGCAGUGGGGAAUAUUGGACAAUGGGCGAAAGCCUGAUCCAGCCAUGCCGCGUGUGUGAAGAAGGUCUUCGGAUUGUAAAGCACUUUAAGUUGGGAGGAAGGGUUGUAGAUUAAUACUCUGCAAUUUUGACGUUACCAACAGAAUAAGCACCGGCUAACUUCGUGCCAGCAGCCGCCGUAAGAC
rnacentral:rRNA from 1 species